AUUGAACGCUGGCGGCAGGCUUAACACAUGCAAGUCGAGCGGGGUGAUGGUGCUUGCACUAUCACUUAGCGGCGGACGGGUGAGUAAUGCUUAGGAAUCUGCCUAUUAGUGGGGGACAACAUCUCGAAAGGGAUGCUAAUACCGCAUACGUCCUACGGGAGAAAGCAGGGGAUCACUUGUGACCUUGCGCUAAUAGAUGAGCCUAAGUCGGAUUAGCUAGUUGGUGGGGUAAAGGCCUACCAAGGCGACGAUCUGUAGCGGGUCUGAGAGGAUGAACCGCCACCGUGGGACUGAGACACGGACCAGACUCCUACGGGAGGCAGCAGUGGGGAGUAUUGGACAAUGGGGGGAGCCCUGAUCCAGCCAUGCCGAGGGUGUGAAGAAGGCCUUAUGGUUGUAAAGCACUUUAAGCGAGGAGGAGGCUCUUUUGGUUAAUACCCAAGAUGAGUGGACGUUACUCGCAGAAUAAGCACCGGCUAACUCUGUGCCAGCCGCCGCCGUAACAC
rnacentral:rRNA from 1 species